rnacentral:rRNA from 1 species
ACCUUCCACGGUUUGUGCGACGCAGCUAACGCAUUAAGCGCCCCGCCUGGGGAGUACGAUCGCAAGAUUAAAACUCAAAGGAAUUGACGGGGCCCCGCACAAGCAGCGGAGCAUGCGGCUAAUUCGACGCAACGCGAAGAACCUACCAAGGCUUGACAUAACAGGAAUACGGCAGAGAUGUCGUACGGUUAACGUCUGUUACAGGUGGUGCAUGGUUGUCGUCAGCUCGUGUCGUGAGAUGUUGGGUUAAGUCCCGCAACGAGCGCAACCCUCGUUCUGUGUUGCCAGCAUUUAGUUGGGGACUCACAGGAGACUGCCGGGGUUAACUCGGAGGAAGGUGGGGAUGACGUCAAAUCAUCAUGCCCCUUAUGUCUUGGGCUGCACGCAUGCUACAAUGGCUGGUACAAAGGGCUGCAAUACUGCAAAGUGGAGCGAAUCCCAAAAAGCCAGUCUCAGUUCGGAUUGGGGUCUGCAACUCGACCCCAUGAAGUCGGAGUUGCUAGUAAUCGUAGAUCAGCAACGCUACGGUGAAUACGUUCCCGGGGCUUGUACACACCGCCCGUCACAUCACGAAAGUCGGUAACACCCGAAGUCAGUGCCCAACC